ACUACGGAGGGUGGGAGUAGAGGACUUCCGUCGCUGGUUGGGACAACGGAAGAGCAAUCUCGCCCUGACCAAUCAUCACUCAUAAUCCUUUCCGACCCCUCCCACCGCCUCCGGGAGCCAAUCCCUUGCCCCGUUGCCGUCAGCCCCAGCUAGAGGUGACCAUAUAGAAACGAAGGGGUGAACUUGGAGUAGGUAGAAAGAAGGCCGCAUCCUGAUGUUCCGUGUCUACUCGUGCUCGAAUGCUCCAGGAAGACAGAGAGGAUACAGUGGGGAUGGACCCAGCGGCUCCACGAGAGCCUCCUCCGGGAACUGUGGUUAACGCCCUCCGCAGUGUACGUGAACCCUCAGUAUUGGAACACGAUGGAUUAUUCCAGAACGACCGCCUCCUACCCUCUAAUGGUACCUUCCGAGUGAAUGGUCUCACCUCCGGCCCUGUCAGUGGGAAUGUGAGAGUUCCAUUCCAUACACCAGGAGUCAAGCAGGGUGUUUGAUCCAGAGACACAGAAACAUAUCCUGACGUGUCUAUGGCUGAGGCGAGUCUGCAUACAGACUAAUGGGCCCGCUUCUUCCUUGGCACCCAGCGCGGGACACUACAGAUCUCAGGACGCAGCCACAACCUCACAGUGCUCCCCGUUUCUAGGCCUUUCCUUGACCACCCGCCCCACCACCUGCCGUGCGAAACUGUGGACUCUGGAUUCUGUGCCGUCAGCAGUUCCAGGGCCUCCAGGACCCAGACAACCUCAAGAAAGACCCCCCAAGACUCUCCUCACCUUCACCUGACCCCCCCCCCCCGCCCUUCAGCACCCACCCUCCUCCCUUUCCUGCCACCACGAAGAGAGCCAUGGAGGCUGCAAAACCUGCGAGGAAAAGGACGACGACCUCAAGGACUUUCCUCAGAGGCCCCAGAGCGCACCACCUGGACCCACUAGCUCGCCACCCCCUCGCACACCCUAAACUCUCGGCAGUUCGAGUCUGGGGACCUACCUGCUGAGUUUCACUAGUCAGAAAGAACGGAAGAGAUGAACAAACACGUCCAACACUGGCCCAGCUUUGCCAACGUAAAGUGCACGGCAAGGUGCAUGCGCAACAAUGGGCGCACACGCCCCGCGCAUGUGCCCUGGCUGAAGGUGUACUGUACAUAUUGAACUUUUUAUGCCACUGAGGCUGAAAGCCUGAACUGCAAGGUGUCCUGAGGACGCGAAAGGGGGCUGGAAGAGUGGGUUUUUGAAAAAAAUUUUAAAAGUGUUUUUUCUUUUUGGUUUGUUUCUUUCCCUCCAACCCAGUCUUAUGCAUCCACAGACUUUGGUGACAGCCCCAGGUUACCCUUAGUGGAGAAUGUCUCAGAAAGAUGGCCAUGAUAGAAAUAGAUAUUAUAGGAUUUUAAUACCUAUUUUAAUACAUGCUUUGAUUAACUGUUUCUUUGCCUCUGGGUUUUCUGUCAUACUGGCAAUGACUUUGCUCACAUCUGUAGGAUGAAUACAUUCACCUGUUUCUUUUUUUGCUUGGAGAAAUGCACAUUCAAAUCACUGUACUGGUAACUGAUUUCUCUGAAUAUACUUAUUGUCAUUCGGUCAGUGUAUGGUCCAGUAAUAUCUAUAGAUAUUGGCUUUAGGAUCUAAGCUCAGUCCUCUGUGACAUGAUGUACAGCAGUGUGACUAUGAUCUUCAUAUACUGUACUUCCCAAAUAUCAGCCAAACAACUUGAUAAGCAAAGCUGAUUUUAUUGCAUGACACUGCCAGGAAAGCACUCUCUGGACAGAACUUUCUUAGAGUCUCAGAGGUGGCAGGGCAGGAGGGCUAUUUAUUUAGAUGUUGAAGUCUGGUGUAGAGCAGGUCUUUCAUUGAGGUGGCAGGGUGUGAUUAGGAUUGAGUAAGAAUUGUGAUAUAAUGGUUUAGGUUUAGUGGACACCAAAAGGCAAGAAUUUUAAGACAGUUCAGAGGGUCUUGGAGUUGAAAAAUGUCAUUUGGAACUUUUUAUUGAAGAGUUGGUGGGUCUUUCAAGUAGUUCUUGGAAUGAACAAUAAAGUUAUUUUGAACUUUUA